rnacentral:lncRNA from 1 species
GAAGAUUCAAUCUCCGAUUUUAAGGAACACACCUUUAAUCUGGGCUACAACUUUUCAUCUGGGAUUAAGGGUGUGGUGGAACACACCUUUAAUCUGGGCUACACCUUCUGCUCGAGACAAUAUAAGGACAUUGGAAGAAGGGAGUCUAGCUCUUGCUCCUUCGCCUGCUUGCUGUGUGAGAUUGAGUAACUGCUAGAUCCUUGGACUUCCAUUCACAGCUGUGACUGAACAAUUGUUGGGAAUUGGGCUGCCGACUGUAAGUCAUCAAUAAAUUCCUUUACUAUCUAAAGACUAUCCAUAAGUUCUGUGACUCUAGAGAACCCUGACUAAUACAACAUCCUUAAUUAUCAGGGAAAUGAAAAUCAAAACAACCCUGAGAUUCCACCUCACACUAGUCAGAAUGGCUAACAUCAAAAAUUCAGGUGACAGCAGAUGCUAGUGAGGAUGUGGAGAAAGAGGAACGCUCCUCCAUGGCUGGUGGGAUUGCAUGCUUGUACCACCACUCUGGAAAUCAGUGUGGCGGCUCCUCAGAAAAUUGGACAUAGUACUACUGGAAGAUCCAGCAAUAACUCAUCCGGGCCUAUGCCCAUAAGAUGUUUCAACUGGUAAUAAAAACACAUGCUCCACUACGUUCAUAGCAGCCUUAUUCAUAAUAGCCAGAAGCUGGAAAGAACCCAGAUGUCCCGCAAUAAAAGAGUGGAUAUUAGUCCAGAAACUUAGAAUACCCAAGGUACAAUUUGCAAAACACAAGAAACUAAAGAAGAAGGAAGACCAAAGUGUGGAUACUUCAGCCCUCCUAAGAAUGGGGAACAAAAUACUCACAGAAGGAGUUAGAGAGACAAAGUUGGGAGCUGAGACUGAAGGAAGGACCAUGCAGAGACUGCCCCACCCAGGGAUCCAUACCAUAAUCAGCCACCAAAUGCAGACACUAUUACAUAUGCCAGCAAGAUUUUGCUGACAUGACCCUGAUAUAGCUGUCUCUUGUGAAGCUAUGCCAGUUCUUGGCAAAUACAGAAGUCGGUGCUCACAAUCAUCUAUUUAAUGGAACACGGGGCCCAAAAUGGAGGAGCUAGAGAAAGGACCCAAGGAGCUGAAGGGGUCUGUAACCCUAUAGGAGGAACAGCAAUAUGGACUAAGCAGUAGCCCCUGAGCUCGUGUCUCUACCUGCAUAUGUAGCAGGAGAAGGCCUAGUCGGUCAUCAUUGGGAGGAGAGGACCUUGGAGUGGCAAAGAUUAUAUGCCCCAGGACAGGGGAAUGCCAGGGCCAGGAAGCUGCCAGGGCCAGG